AUCCUUCUGUAGUUCGUAAGUAUGAUGAUUGAGUUUUUGUGCUCAUGUGUGAGAUGUGCCUCCCUCAAACCUUGUUACCAUGUCAGCACAUUAUCUGUCUGAUG